rnacentral:tRNA from 1 species
GGGGAUGUGGCUCAAGUGGUAGUGCGCUUGCCUAGCACGCGAGAGGCACUGGGUUCGAUUCUCAGCACCA